CCUACGGGCGGCAGCAGUGAGGAAUAUUGGUCAAUGGACGCAAGUCUGAACCAGCCAUGCCGCGUGCAGGAAGACGGCCCUAUGAGUUGUAAACUGCUUUUGUACGAGGGUAAACGCAGAUACGCGUAUCUGUCUGAAAGUAUCGUACGAAUAAGGAUCGGCUAACUCCGUGCCAGCAGCCGCGGUAAUACGGAGGAUUCAAGCGUUAUCCGGAUUUAAUGGGUUUAAAGGGUGCGUAGGCGGUCGGAUAAGUUAGAGGUGAAAUCCCGAGGCUCAACUUCGGAAUUGCCUCUGAUACUGUUCGGCUAGAGAGUAGUAGCGGUAGGCGGAAUGUAUGGUGUAGCGGUGAAAUGCUUAGAGAUCAUACAGAACACCGAUUGCGAAGGCAGCUUACCAAGCUACUUCUGACGUUGAGGCACGAAAGCGUGGGGAGCAAACAGGAUUAGAUACCCGAGUAGUC
rnacentral:rRNA from 1 species